rnacentral:pre_miRNA from 1 species
AAUAUACUCCCUCCGUCCGAAAAUACUUGUCAUCAAAAUUAAUAAAAAAAAUGUAUCUCAAACUAAAAUACAUCUAGAUACAUCCUCUUCUAUCCAUUUUGAUGACAAGCAUUUUCGGACGGAGGGAGUAGCUC